GACGAACGCUGGCGGCGUGCUUAACACAUGCAAGUCGAACGGAAAGGCCCUGCUUUUGUGGGGUGCUCGAGUGGCGAACGGGUGAGUAACACGUGAGUAACCUGCCCUUGACUUUGGGAUAACUUCAGGAAACUGGGGCUAAUACCGGAUAGGAUCUCCUGCUGCAUGGUGGGGGUUGGAAAGUUUCGGCGGUUGGGGAUGGACUCGCGGCUUAUCAGCUUGUUGGUGGGGUAGUGGCUUACCAAGGCUUUGACGGGUAGCCGGCCUGAGAGGGUGACCGGCCACAUUGGGACUGAGAUACGGCCCAGACUCCUACGGGCGGCAGCAGUGGGGAAUAUUGCACAAUGGGCGGAAGCCUGAUGCAGCAACGCCGCGUGCGGGAUGACGGCCUUCGGGUUGUAAACCGCUUUCGCCUGUGACGAAGCGUGCGUGACGGUAAUGGGUAAAGAAGCACCGGCUAACUACGUG
rnacentral:rRNA from 1 species